rnacentral:misc_RNA from 1 species
CAGUCAUUGUGGCCCUUCACAUUUGCGCCUAUCUAUUUUCCUCCGAUGCACGCCGGGUGCGCAUGGAGAUAACUUAUGCCUCCUCCAGUUCUAGCGACCUCACCUCCGUCGCCGCUUCCACCUCCGGAUCCUCCAUGCCGACAUCCGGCGUCCGACCAGUUAAGAUCAUUCCUCUGCAACACCCUAACGCGACGUCGUCUUCCUCUCUUUCCUCUUCUCUGCCUUGUGCUCUUUUCUCUCGCUGGCUGACCAAAAUGAAACAUAUGUCUUUAGCUCAAUGGAUUGAGACUUUCUUGCCUUGCUACCGUUGGAUUAGGACUUAUAAAUGGCGCGAGUAUUUUCAGGUUGAUCUUAUGGCCGGUAUCACUAUCGGUAUUAUGCUCGUGCCGCAGGCAAUGUCUUAUGCUAAGUUGGCUGGGCUUCAACCAAUUUAUGGACUAUACUGUGGUUUUGUGCCAGUAUUUGUGUAUGCCGUAUUUGGGUCAUCUCGGCAACUGGCAACUGGUCCUGUGGCAUUGGUUUCUCUCCUAGUCUCUAACGUUUUAAGUGGAAUUGUUGAUUCAUCUGAUGAGUUAUACACGGAACUUGCUAUACUAUUGGCACUAAUGGUUGGAAUUCUGGAAUGCAUCAUGGGGCUUUUGAGGCUUGGAUGGAUUAUACGCUUCAUUAGUCACUCUGUGAUUUCUGGCUUCACAACUGCAUCAGCCAUUGUGAUUGCAUUAUCUCAAGCAAAGUACUUCCUGGGAUAUGAUGUUGUACGAAGCAGCAAGAUUGUGCCAUUAGUAAAGAGCAUAAUAUCUGGAGCGGAUAAGUUCUCGUGGCCUCCUUUUGUGAUGGGAUCUAGCAUUCUUGCUAUACUUUUGGUCAUGAAGCACUUGGGAAAAUCAAGAAAGCAAUUUAGAUUCCUUCGAGCAGCAGGACCCCUCACAGCAGUCAUUUUGGGUACAACUUUUGUGAAAAUUUUUCACCCAUCUUCUAUUUCUUUGGUAGGAGAGAUACCCCAGGGUCUCCCAAGCUUCUCCAUUCCUAAAGGAUUUGGGUAUGCAAAGUCUUUAAUCCCCACAGCAAUGCUUAUUACUGGUGUAGCCAUAUUGGAAUCUGUGGGGAUUGCAAAAGCUUUAGCGGCAAAGAAUGGUUAUGAACUGGAUUCAAAUCAGGAGUUGUUUGGCCUUGGUAUAGCAAAUAUCAUGGGCUCUUUUUUUUCAGCAUACCCUGCAACAGGUUCCUUUUCUAGGUCAGCCGUAAGUAAUGAAAGUGGGACAAAAACUGGCUUAUCUGGAAUUAUUACUGGCAUCAUCAUGGGCUGUGCUCUUCUAUUCUUGACUCCAUUAUUUGAAUACAUUCCCCUGUGUUCUCUGGCUGCAAUAGUAAUCUCUGCUGUGAUGGGCCUGGUGGAUUAUGAAGAGGCCAUCUUCUUAUGGCGUGUAGAUAAGAAAGAUUUUCUUCUAUGGACCAUUACUAGUGCUACAACAUUGUUCCUUGGCAUUGAGAUUGGUGUCCUUGUUGGGGUUGGUGUGUCAAUUGCUUUUGUUAUCCAUGAAUCAGCGAAUCCACACAUUGCUGUAUUGGGCCGUCUUCCUGGUACCACUGUUUACAGAAACAUCCAGCAGUAUCCGGAAGCAUAUACGUACAACAGAAUUGUGAUGGUUCGCAUUGAUGCACCAAUCUAUUUUGCCAAUAUAAGUUACAUAAAAGACAGGUGAAAGCACAUGCUUCCCUAAAUUAAUUCUAUCCAGGGAAACACAUUUUACCAUCAGACGUCUUUGAAUCUUCCUUCGUAUUAUUCAGUUUAGUUGUUUGAAUUUAAUUCAUCAAGGUUUCCUUUUUCAGACUUAGGGAAUAUGAACUCAAUGUUGACAAAUCUACCAGACGUGGACCAGAAGUUGAAAGAAUUUAUUUUGUGAUUUUGGAGAUGUCACCUGUUACAUAUAUAGACUCCAGUGCUGUUCAAGCUUUGAAAGACUUGCAUCAGGAGUAUAAAUCACGGGAUAUCCAGGUUUAGUGCUCAUUCUGGUUGAAGUCACAUUUUAACUAUGAGCUAUUUUUUUCAUACGGAGAAAUAGAAGGAUGAUCUUCUUGCAUGCCACUGGGUUCUUUUGUAGAUUGCUAUUUCCAAUCCCAACAGAGAAGUUUUGUUGACCUUAUCAAAAGCUGGUCUUGUAGAGCUCAUCGGCAAGGAAUGGUACUUUGUGAGAAUGCAUGAUGCUGUUCAAGUUUGCCUUCAGCAUGUUCAAAGCAUAAGCCAAGAACCCAGGCACCCGGAUUUAUUACCUGUCGAUAAGCCAGGUUUCUUCCAACGGUUAUUGAAACAAAGAGAGGAGGAUUUAUCAGUUGCGAAGUUGGAGUCAGGCAAUAAUUCUGACUCUCAACUGGAGCCAUUGUUGUCUCGGAAGUCAUGAAAUUGACUUAUUUUUUCAACAAAUAAACUACUGCCCAUUUUUAUCAAGGCAACCGCUUAUACAUAUUUGCAAGGUUUGAUUAUUUUCUUGUAAUUGUAAUCCAUUGUUGUAACAUUUAUCCAUUGUUGUAACAUUUCAUUAUGAUGUAUCAUUUGAUUUUUCAAGCUAGUUAGCUAUGAUUGUUGUAGAAUAAACAAAGUUUACUUUCUGCUAUGGAAAUAUUCAUUUCUCA